CGGAUAGAAGCACGAUUGGAAGUGCGUCCGCUUUGGGAGUGGGAGUCUGAUGGUUCGAAUCCAUUCUAUCCGA
rfam:Taphrina deformans PYCC 5710 genomic scaffold, scaffold00251